GACGAAGGAUGCAAGCGUUAUCCGGAUUCAUUGGGUUUAAAGGGAGCGUAGGUGGCCUUAUAAGUCAGUGGUGAAAUCUUCGAGCUUAACUCGGAAAUUGCCAUUGAUACUGUAGGGCUUGAGUACAGUUGCUGUGGGCGGAAUAUGACAUGUAGUGGUGAAAUACAUAGAGAUGUCAUAGAACACCGAUUGCGAAGGCAGCUCACAAAACUGUAGCUGACACUGGGGCUCGAAAGUGCGGGGAUCAAACAGG
rnacentral:rRNA from 1 species